AACGCACAUUGCGCCCCUUGGUAUUCCAUGGGGCAUGCCUGUUCGAGCGUCAUUUGUACCUUCAAGCUUUGCUUGGUGUUGGGUGUUUGUCCUGAGGGACUCGCCUUAAAGUAAUUGGCAGCCAGUGUUUGGUUUUGAAGCGCAGCACAAGUCGCGAUUCAAAGCUAUACGCCCGCUUCCACAAGCCUUUUUCACUUUUGACCUCGGAUCAGGUAGGGAUACCCGCUGAACUUAA
rnacentral:misc_RNA from 2 species